rnacentral:rRNA from 1 species
GACGAACGCUGGCGGCGUGCUUAACACAUGCAAGUCGAACGGAAAGGCCCUGCUUUUGUGGGGUGCUCGAGUGGCGAACGGGUGAGUAACACGUGAGUAACCUGCCCUUGACUUUGGGAUAACUUCAGGAAACUGGGGCUAAUACCGGAUAGGAGCUCCUGCUGCAUGGUGGGGGUUGGAAAGUUUCGGUGGCUGGGGAUGGACGCGGGGCUUAUCAGCUUGUUGGUGAGGUAGUGGCUUCCGAAGGCUUUGACGGGUAGCCGGACUGAGAGUGUGACCGGCCACAGUGGGACUGGGGUAGGGGCCAGACGGCUACGUGAGGAAGCAGGGGGAGACAUUGCACAAUGGGCGGAAGCCGGAUGCAGCGACGCCGGGUGGGGGAGGACGGCUUUCGGGGUGUAAACCGCUUGCGCGUGUGACGAAGCGUGAGUGACGGUAAUGGGUAAGGAAGCAACGGCUAACUACGUG